UAUGUAGGGGGCAAGCGUUGUCCGGAUUUACUGGGCGUAAAGAGCGUGUAGGCGGCCAAACAGGUCCGUUGUGAAAACUGGAGGCUCAACCUCCAGACGUCGACGGAAACCGUAUGGCUAGAGUCCGGAAGAGGAGAGUGGAAUUCCUGGUGUAGCGGUGAAAUGCGCAGAUAUCAGGAAGAACACCAAUGGCGAAGGCAGCUCUCUGGGACGGUACUGACGCUGAGACGCGAAAGCGUGGGGAGCGAACAGG
rnacentral:rRNA from 1 species